rnacentral:lncRNA from 1 species
GUAGCCUAGCGGUUAGAGGGGGAGGCGGGUAGCCUAGCGGUUAGAGGGGGAGGCAGGUAGCCUAGCGGUUAGAGGGGGAGGCGGGUAGCCUAGCGGUUAGAGGGGGGAGGCGGGUAGCCUAGCGGUUAGAGGGGGGAGGCGGGUAGCCUAGCGGUUAGAGGGGGGAGGCGGGUAGCCUAGCGGUUAGAGAGGGGGGAGGCGGGUAGCCUAGCGGUUAGAGAGGGGGGAGGCAGGUAGCCUAGUGGUUAGAGUGUUGGACUAGUAACCGAAAGGUUGCUGGAUCGAAUCCCCCGAGCUGACAAGGUAAAAAUCUGUCGUUCUGCCCCUGAACAAGGCAGUUAACCCACUGUUCCCUGGUAGGCCGUCAUUGUAAAUAAAAAUUUGUUCUUAACUGACUUGGCUAGUUAAAUAAAAAUAAUAUCCUAUGCCUUUGGUGUUGAGAAUCUGCAGUUACUGUAAUGGACCAUUGGGGGGCAGUGUCGUCCCUGGAGUACACCACAAAGAGAUCAGGAGAGGUGACCCAGGUCAUGAAGAGAGAAGCCAGAUAAUCAGCCUAGUUAUUCUGAGAGAGUUGGGCUAAAUGAAUCAG